GGGCCCGUAGCUCAGUUGGAUAGAGCGGCUGACUACGGAUCAGCAGGUCAGGGGUUCGAGUCCUCUCGGGCCCGCCA
rnacentral:tRNA from 1 species